GACGAACCGUGCGAACGUUAUUCGGAAUCACUGGGCUUAAAGCGCGUGUAGGCGGGGCGGCACGUCGGUCGCUGAAAUCCCCCGGCUCAACCGGGGAAGGGGCGCCGAUACGACCGGCCUGGAGGGACGUAGGGGGAGCUGGAACUUCCGGUGGAGCGGUGAAAUGCGUUGAGAUCGGAAGGAACGCCCGUGGCGAAAGCGGGUCUCUGGGCAGUAACUGACGCUGAGGAGCGAAAGCGUGGGGAGCGAACAGG
rnacentral:rRNA from 1 species